rnacentral:rRNA from 1 species
UACGAAGGGGGCUAGCGUUGCUCGGAAUCACUGGGCGUAAAGGGCGCGUAGGCGGCCAUUCAAGUCGGAGGUGAAAGCCCAGGGCUCAACCCUGGAAUUGCCUUCGAUACUGUUUGGCUAGAGACCGGAAGAGGUAAGUGGAACUGCGAGUGUAGAGGUGAAAUUCGUAGAUAUUCGCAAGAACACCAGUGGCGAAGGCGACUUCCUGGCCUGUUCUUGACGCUGAGGCGCGAAAGCUAGGGGAGCAAACGGG